rnacentral:rRNA from 1 species
AACAGGAUUAGAUACCCUGGUAGUCCACGCUGUAAACGAUGUCGACUUGGAGGUUGUGCCCUUGAGGCGUGGCUUCCGGAGCUAACGCGUUAAGUCGACCGCCUGGGGAGUACGGCCGCAAGGUUAAAACUCAAAUGAACUGACGGGGGCCCGCACAAGCGGUGGAGCAUGUGGUUUAAUUCGAUGCAACGCGAAGAACCUUACCUACUCUUGACAUCCAGAGAAUUUGCUAGAGAUAGCUUAGUGCCUUCGGGGACUCUGAGACAGGUGCUGCAUGGCUGUCGUCAGCUCGUGUUGUGAAAUGUUGGGUUAAGUCCCGCAACGAGCGCAACCCUUAUCCUUUGUUGCCAGCACGUAAUGGUGGGAACUCAAAGGAGACUGCCGGUGAUAAACCGGAGGAAGGUGGGGAUGACGUCAAGUCAUCAUGGCCCUUACGAGUAGGGCUACACACGUGCUACAAUGGCAUAUACAAAGAGAAGCGAACUCGCGAGAGCAAGCGGACCUCAUAAAGUAUGUCGUAGUCCGGAUUGGAGUCUGCAACUCGACUCCAUGAAGUCGGAAUCGCUAGUAAUCGUAGAUCAGAAUGCUACGGUGAAUACGUUCCCGGGCCUUGUACACACCGCCCGUCACACCAUGGGAGUGGGUUGCAAAAGAAGUAGGUAGCUUAACCUUCGGGAGGGCGCUUACCACUUUGUGAUUCAUGACUGGGGUGAAGUCGUAACAAGGUAACC